CUACGUGCCAGCAGCCGCGGUAAUACGGAAGGUCCAGGCGUUAUCCGGAUUUAUUGGGUUUAAAGGGAGUGUAGGCGGUUUGUUAAGCGUGUUGUGAAAUUUAGGUGCUCAACAUUUAACUUGCAGCGCGAACUGUCAGACUUGAGUACACGCAACGUAUGCGGAAUUCAUGGUGUAGCGGUGAAAUGCUUAGAUAUCAUGAAGAACUCCGAUUGCGAAGGCAGCAUACGGGAGUGUAACUGACGCUUAAGCUCGAAGGUGCGGGUAUCGAACAGGAUUAGAUACCCUGGUAGUCCGCACAGUAAACGAUGGAUGCCCGCUGUUAGCGCCUGGCGUUAGCGGCUAAGCGAAAGCAUUAAGCAUCCCACCUGGGGAGUACGCCGGCAACGGUGAAACUCAAAGGAAUUGACGGGGGCCCGCACAAGCGGAGGAACAUGUGGUUUAAUUCGAUGAUACGCGAGGAACCUUACCCGGGCUUGAA
rnacentral:rRNA from 1 species